rnacentral:lncRNA from 1 species
AACCUCAAAAUAGUAAACCCUAACUGUUCACACAUGGUUGAAGUGAGGUGAAAGAAGAAAUCUUAAAGCUCUGGACCACACAUUUUGAGGAGAAGAUUAUAAAACUUGAGACCACAACACUAACAAUAUUGAAGCAUUGGGCCACCUUCAACUUGGAUUUUGAAACAUUUGGUCUCUACAUAAAGGUAUUUUCUUUUCUUUUGUUUAAUCAUGUUUGUGAACAUUGCUUCUUUCUCUAUGUCGAAGGGAGACCAUCUUUCUUCGGUGAUUUUUUUCUUUUUACUUUUAUUUUCUAGAGUUUUUUGUCUUCCCUUUUAAUGAGAGGUAUUAUAUCCAUCUAGAUCUAAGAUUUAUGAUUGUUUCUCUCUACCCAAAUCUCAUUUUGUAGUGGUUUAUAUAGUCGAUUUGUAGUGGCUUUAGUUUAUUUUAGUUGUUAUGUUGUGGUUUGAUUCUAAAUUUCAAUCUUUCAUAGUUCGGAUCCAAAAAGUCUUAAGCUGAAAAAUUUUGAUCUUUGCGAAGGAUCCACUUUUGUACUGAUCGGAAGAGUUAAAAUUUGGUGAUAGAGAGAAAUUAAAAAGAGCUGAGAAGGCAUAUCUCAUAUAGCUCUAGGUUAUUGUGCACAUUAUUAUGGAGAUGCCCUGUAUAGAUAUCUCUUGUAAACUUAAUUCAUCUUGUUCUCCAGUGUGCAAGCAAAGGCUUCAUCAAUUAUGUAUUGUAAGGGUUUCUAUAAAUUGAGAUCUAAAUCAAUAAAAUGAUCUCUUGUUGUAUUUUUUGUACUCUUAUUAUGUUGGUUAAUAAAAUCUAUGUUUGUGUUUCAAGAAAAAAAAAAUCAUGCUUGUGAAAGAAGGUGAUAGAUUGUCAGUUCGUGGGUGGUCUACAUGUGCUUUUUUUUUUCUAUAUUUAAUUUAUUCAUGUUUAAAUAAUAGAUAUUGAAAAUAUGGCUGAACACUAAAGUUAUUAUAUUUUAUGAAGGAGUUCGUAACGUUUAUAUGCACAUAUUUUAAAGAAGAUACAAAUACCAAAAUAUUUUUUCAUAUGCUUAACAUUUAAUGCAAAUGCUUAACACGGUAGCUAUCGAUUUUUUGUGCUUUAGUCUCUGACACUUCGUGUCCGUCUAGUUUCGAUCUAUUUGUUAUGUGCUUUAGUAAAUUGAUGUUUUAUUAAUAUGAUUCAACUAGGAUAAUAAUAUUGAGGUCCUAUAUUUUACUUUUUCUCAAAUUAGGACAUAGACAAUCAUGAAGAGAUUAUGUGAAAUAUUUUAGUAUGAUAUAUUUAUAUUUUAAAUUCGGAAUCUUGGAUGUCUACGAAUCAAAGGUCAAAAGAUCAUGAGGUUGGUGUUGGAAGACUUCUAAAUUUUGCAGUGAUUUAUGCAAAGAAUUCUAAUCACAUACUAUGUCCAUGUAUGAAAUUGGAAAUGCAAAACAUUAGAUUGUUGAUGAGAUAAGGGAUCAUUUGUAUUUGAAAAGUAUAGAUGAAAGUUAUAGUAAUUGGAUUUUGCAUGGAGAAAAAUACGGUAGUCAUUUACUUAUCCUUUUAAAAUUAAUAGAUUUGAGAACAUUGAUGCAUGUAUGAAUAUUGACUAUUUUGUAUAUGAUUUAAGUUUUUUGGACAAGACAGUUACACUCAAAAGGAUAUUGAUGAAGUAAGAAAGUAGGUAGAGCACAUAUGGCAUAAUAUUCUUUGCUAAAUUUUGUAACACAAUGACUUUGCGAGGUUAGUAAUAAACAGAAUUAUCUUUUAUCUAUAUCUUUCUUGUUGUCUUUGUUUUGAAUAAGACACUAAAAGGAUUUAUAAAAUUAUUUUCUUAUUGUAGUCAAGGAAGGCUUGUAAAAAAGGUUGCACUCUACAACUCUUUGUGGCUUCGGCAUGAUUAUUGGAGUAGCCAGUAGGAUUGUCACAUUUUGUUGAUCUUGUGAGGAAUGUAAUACUUUUCUUUUAAGAAAAAAGAUUUAUGGAUAUCUAGUUACUUUAAUUUGGGAAUUGUAAACACAAUAUUUUUUAGUAUUGUUUGUAAUGUACCAAUCUAUACAUGAUUAAUACAAUUGCUUGAUGAAU